AAAAAAUAUACCGUAUACUUAUUAUGUUUUAAAAAUUGAUAGACACACAUAUAUAUAUAUAUAUAUAUAUAUAUAUAUAUAUUAUAAUAUAUACCAAUUUAGAAUUGAAAACAAAAUGUUUAUAUAAAAAUAAAUAAAAACAAAAAACUCACACGGUUGCGUGGAUCGAGAUCUAGUAUAGAUUAUUUGCUAUAAAAGUAUCUUGCCACAUUGUGUAAGUGCAUAUGAGGCGACAAAAAUAAUGUGCAGAAAGUAAGAACAUACAAAAAUUGUUAACAGGUUUGUUUCCUACAUCUCCGAAAUCUUGUCUAGAUUUCAUUGACUUAGAACAAGUAGCAACCUAUAAUUUCUAUAUGGUACAACACAAACACUUGUGUCUACCACUCUUUUCUAAAUAUGUACUCUAUGAAAAAUAGGAAUCAAGCACGCAUGCAUAGAUCACUAUCCGGCGCACCAGAGUUCAAUGUCUUCUACAAAUGUAAUCUUCACAGACCACCACAACGAAAUCACUCUCGUGCUAAACUUCUCCUGAGUCUAAGCUUAAAUCUUCCACGUCUCGGAAGCAUUUCACCAGGUACGUCGGCACCCAAGGCACACAAGUAACACAAAAGAGUACGUCAACUCCAACACAUAACAUGCUCACCACAAGCUCAACACAACGGCUACUCCACCAUACAAAGCGUCAACUCCAACACCACCAAACUAAAUCUACAUCAGACUCCAUCAAACAAUGCUUCAAAAUGUCCUUUGACACCAAGCAAUAACACACACUAAUGAAACAUAUCUCUCUCUUUUCUAUGAAGUCUGGCUUUCUUAUAAGACAUGUCCCUCCUUAUAUAACAUGCCAGAACUUGUUCUCCACGUCUUCAACUUUUUCAAGUCUUUAAAUGCUCUUUAAGCAAAUUUUCUUUUCCAUUUAAACCACUUUCUUUUCUUUGUAAAGGUAAACCUCCUCUCUAAGCAAAACCUUUUGCUUAAUGGAAAAUAUUCUUUUGUCUUCAAGCACAUAUAUUAUUUCUUUCUCCAAACUCAGCAAGCCCAUGCAAUCACAAAACCUGAACUUCCAUUCAGCUUCAUCUUUACGUACACGCAUGUACUAUCUCCUGUAAUACUUCACGAACUGAUACAGAUCAUCUCAGCAGACUGCAUCUUCACAUUGUGUUUUGGCUGAUAAAAAUACCGAGAGAUCAUCAUUGAUUGAACUAAAUCUAAACCCUAAUUAAGCAUCAUUGAUAAGCAGGCAUGUUGAUAAGUAAAAGUAUCUUGGUUAAUCUGGUGAAAAAUAUGAAAGAUCCUGUAGAGAAAGCAACGGCUGAGAUUUAUUACCAAAAAUAGAAAAAGUACAAAGACCACUAGAUCUCCUCCUCCAAAUCCAAAACACAAUCCAGCUGAUACUGUUUCGGGCUUCUAUAAUUGCUGAAUCUCCUUUCUCAGUGUCUUCUCGUUUAAAUAGAAAAGGCAACAAAUAUAUAUUUGAGUUUUUGUUACUCAGAAGAAAGAUAACGAGUGAGAUGGCUGAUGAAGUUUCAAAUCUGGCAGAGUCAAAGUUAACAGCUUUGAUAGUUCUAUAAACCAAAGCAUGCAUCUUAAACUAUCGGACCGUCUGGGGGGUAAAAUCGACGUCAUCUGUAACGGCCAAGAAGCCGUUGACGUUCAUUGUUCCGGCAGAAACUAUGAUCUCAUUGACUCAUUCACAUGGACAUGGACAUGCCCAUCAUGAACGGUAUUCAGGUGAGAUGGCGACAAAGAGACAAAGAGACCGUGAUCUUAAUGACUUUCAAGAGAAACCUCUCACCAUCUCUAAGCUUCUCUCUAUUCUUCAUAAACUUGAUUUUUACGUCCAGACCUAGUCAAAUAGUCUCAAUUUGUUAAUCUUUACUUAUUUGAUAUUACAUACUUGUAGUUUUGAAUAUUCGUUACAUACUUCCAAAUAUUAAUUAAUUACCAAUCAAUUCAAUAAAGUUUGCGAGCAAGUCAGGCUCAGGCUUCAGAAAAUAGGUCGGAUUAUGAAUUAUGAUGAUUUAUCACGGCAUCUUCAUCUCUGCCAUUCUCACAUGUUAAUCAAUCGGGUUGGUUUGUAGCUAAAGGAAUAUGGAAAUCAGUGACUUGUCACGUGAAAAGAGCUAAUGUGUAUCGAUCGCUUAAUCCGAACUAUCUUGCUUGUGAAAAAGUGUGGAGUCAAAAACAAAAACAAAAACAAAAAUGUUAUUAAUAUAAAGGUAAACACAAUUCAUUCACAAUUACCGUUAUUAGCAAGGACCAUGUGUUAGGCUCAUUUGGCGCUUAGACCUGCCUAAGAUCAGGUCAAGAGUA